AAUACGAAAAAAAGCUACAUAGUUGACGAUACAGAAGAAAGAGCUUUAAACAAGAUAUGCUAAUAUGCUGUAUGGUGGAAAAAUUUCAUUGGACGCUUGCAUUGUUACUUACAACAAAGAUAUGGUGUUUCAGAAAAGUUUGAAAUAUUAACAUUACCACAUGCCAUACAAGCUGAAGUUUGCUGAAAGUUAUACAAAUGGAGAAGUAUUGGUGCGUGUCUUUCCACAUGAAGAAGUUAAUGCAUACAGAAAGAGAGAUAAAGGAGGUUUGUGAG
rnacentral:lncRNA from 1 species